UCUCCGGCCUCCUCUUCUGCUCUCUAAGUCUCUGAGAACACAGAGAAAGAAAAACUCACUAGGCACUUUCACUCGUGAUUUAGCACGAUUUAGAGUAGGAUUUGAAUAUGCUGAAGUUCAACGAAAGAUAGAUCAAGGCAUUAUUUCAUCACCUUUUGGAGUCAUUUAAAGCUUCAGGAGUAGGAUUUGCCUAGCGAAGUGAAUUACGAAGUUGAUCAAGCAAACAAGGAGGAGAUGACGUGAUUGAAGAAUUUGUGUUUCAAUCUUCGCUGUCCCUUUUGAGGUUAUGGCUGAAGUGCCAGUGCUUUUGCAGGGGCCCCAUGACGCCGGCCACCGUUGCCACCUAUUGUUGAACCCAAAUAAUGAUAAUGAUCCUCGAACUUUCACACUUCGAACCGUAAAUAACACAUGGUCAACACACGAUUCUUUCAUUCAUCACCUUGAGGCUUAUGGCCUACAUGGUUAUGCUAGUCUCACAUCAUCCGAAAACCAAUUACGUUCGGACCCAUCCCUUUUGACAUCCCUCGUUGACCGGUGGAGACCUGAAACCCACACCUUUCACUUUCGUCUUGGGGAGCUUGCACCUACACUGAAAGAUGUUUCUAUGAUCACUGCUCUACCAAUUAGAGGUGAGCCGUUAGUCUCUCUGUCAGUGACUCCAUCUUGGGCAUUAAAUAUCUC